GGCGUGGUAGCUCAGCUGGUUAGAGCGCAGCACUCAUAAUGCUGAGGUCGGCGGUUCGAGCCCGCCCCACGCUA
rnacentral:tRNA from 3 species